GAUCAUGGCUCAGGAUGAACGCUGGCGGCGUGCUUAACACAUGCAAGUCGAACGAAGCACUUUAAUUGAUUUCUUCGGAAUGAAGUUUUUGUGACUGAGUGGCGGACGGGUGAGUAACGCGUGGGUAACCUGCCUCAUACAGGGGGAUAACAGUUGGAAACGACUGCUAAUACCGCAUAAGCGCACGGGAUUGCAUGAUCCAGUGUGAAAAACUCCGGUGGUAUGAGAUGGACCCGNGU
rnacentral:rRNA from 1 species